rnacentral:rRNA from 1 species
CCUACGGGAGGCUGCAGUGGGGAAUAUUGGACAAUGGGCGAAAGCCUGAUCCAGCCAUGCCGCGUGUGUGAAGAAGGCCUUCGGGUUGUAAAGCACUUUCAGUGGGGAAGAAAGCCUUGGGGCUAAUACCCUCGAGGAAGGACAUCACCCACAGAAGAAGCACCGGCUAACUCCGUGCCAGCAGCCGCGGUAAUACGGAGGGUGCGAGCGUUAAUCGGAAUUACUGGGCGUAAAGCGCGCGUAGGCGGUCUGAUAAGCCGGUUGUGAAAGCCCCGGGCUCAACCUGGGAACGGCAUCCGGAACUGUCAGGCUAGAGUGCAGGAGAGGAAGGUAGAAUUCCCGGUGUAGCAGUGAAAUGCGUAGAGAUCGGGAGGAAUACCAGUGGCGAAGGCGGCCUUCUGGACUGACACUGACGCUGAGGUGCGAAAGCGUGGGUAGCAAACAGGGUUAGAUACCCCUGUAGUC